rnacentral:rRNA from 1 species
GACGAACGCUGGCGGCGUGCUUAACACAUGCAAGUCGAACGGCAAGGCCCUGCUUUUGUGGGGUGCUCGAGUGGCGAACGGGUGAGUAACACGUGAGUAACCUGCUCUUGUCUUUGGGAUAACUUAAGGAAACUGGGGCUAAUAUCGGAUAGGAGAUCCUGCUGCAUGGUGGGGGUUGGAAAGUUUCGGCGGUUGGGGAUGGACUCGCGGCUUAUCAGCUAGUUGGUGGGGUAGUGGCUUACCAAGGCUUUGACGGGUAGGCGGCCUGGGAGGGUGACCGGCCACAAUGGUACUGAGGGACGGCCCAGACUCCUACGGGAGGCAGCGGUGGGGAAUAUUGCACAAUGGGCGGGAGCCUGAUGCAGCAGCGCCGCGUGCGUAAUGACGGCCUUCGGGUUGUAAACCGCUUUCGCCUGUGACGAAGCGUGAGUGACGGUAAUGGAUAAAGAAGCACCGGCUAACUACGUG